UAACCUGCCUUACACAGGGGGAUAACAGUUAGAAAUGACUGCUAAUACCGCAUAAGACCCCGGUACCGCAUGGUACAGAGGUAAAAACUGAGGUGGUGUAAGAUGGACCCGCGUCUGAUUAGGUAGUUGGUGAGGUAACGGCUCACCAAGCCGACGAUCAGUAGCCGGCCUGAGAGGGCGGACGGCCACAUUGGGACUGAGACACGGCCCAGACUCCUACGGGAGGCAGCAGUGGGGAAUAUUGCACAAUGGGGGAAACCCUGAUGCAGCGACGCCGCGUGAGCGAUGAAGUAUUUCGGUAUGUAAAGCUCUAUCAGCAGGGAAGAAAAUGACGGUACCUGACUAAGAAGCCCCGGCUAACUACGUGCCAGCAGCCGCGGUAAUACGUAGGGGGCAAGCGUUAUCCGGAUUUACUGGGUGUAAAGGGAGCGUAGACGGCAUGGCAAGCCAGAUGUGAAAUACCGGGGCUCAACCCCGGGACUGCAUUUGGAACUGUUAAGCUGGAGUGUCGGAGAGGCAGGCGGAAUUCCUAGUGUAGCGGUGAAAUGCGUAGAUAUUAGGAGGAACACCAGUGGCGAAGGCGGCCUGCUGGACGAUAACUGACGUUGAGGCUCGAAAGCGUGGGGGAGCAAACAGGAUUAGAUACCCUGGUAGUCCACGCCGUAAACGAUGACUACUAGGUGU
rnacentral:rRNA from 1 species